ensembl:lncRNA
ACGGAGUAAUGAGAUGAGCAGAUUGAGGGGAAACUCCUCGCAGGAUGUUUCUCAGCCGAGUGUGUGCUCUGAUUAAACUCACGCUGCCCAUUUAGAGGUGUUGGAUUCUUAUCAGCUUAUACUACUACAGAACUGCGAACUCGAUAACAAGUCACUGACUGCGAUACACAACUACUGACAUUCAUCAGAUCAUGUGUCACGGCUUGAGAACCUCAAGUGCUCGUGUGAAACCAAACGGGACACCCAAACUAGGGCUUCUCCGCUAUAUGAAGUAACAGCUCGGGGUACGCUACAUCACGUCGUCAUAAACAAGUCCCUAAAACAGGAUUCGCAGACGACAACUAAACGCGAAUAUUCGCCACAGGGGGUGUUUGUGGACGUGUAUAACUGUUCGAUCUGACAACGCGGAGGGAUGUUGGGACAUCGUGCCAGUCACAGGCAGCGUUUUUAAAAGGCUUACGUAAACACAAACGAGGCUAAACACAGCACCGUCUGGACAAGCGUUCAUAUUAAUAGCCCCAGUGUUAAUAUUACUGCUAAUGUAAACAGAAUUAAAUGGUUGCUAGUGUCCCGAUGGUUUGGGAAACCGCAAACCAGACAUCUGGGAACAGGGACAGUCUUAAAGGAGGUGUUUACACUGGAGUAUCGAAAGACAGAAAUAUAACAGGAAGUGGUGAUCUGCAGGGUCCAGGCAC